rnacentral:rRNA from 1 species
UACGAAGGGGGCUAGCGUUGCUCGGAAUCACUGGGCGUAAAGCGCACGUCGGCGGCUUGUUAAGUCAGGGGUGAAAUCCUGGAGCUCAACUCCAGAACUGCCUUUGAUACUGGCGAUCUUGAGUCCGGGAGAGGUGAGUGGAACUGCGAGUGUAGAGGUGAAAUUCGUAGAUAUUCGCAAGAACACCAGUGGCGAAGGCGGCUCACUGGCCCGAUACUGACGCUGAGGCACGAAAGCGUGGGGAGCAAACAGG